UCUCAUUUUGCUACAAUAUUUUGGACUACAUCCUCUUUGUGAGUAGGAGAGAGCCAUGUACGUCUCAGAAAAUAUUUUCUGAAUCUAUUCUCUGAGAAUUCUGUGUGUCUAUCUCAAACGCUCACAGCCCAAUGGCAAUCGACGAUGUCGAACAGCUCUCGCGUCGGACCACCAUCAUCAAUGCAAUCAUAAAGUUUAGAAUUCCUCAGGUAAUGGUAUGCACUUCAGCAUCAAAGUAUAAAUGGCUAUUUUCAGUCAUACUUGUGCAGUAUUUAGGCGAAUCCACUUCAUUUUGCUUGGAUUUAACUAUUGAAAUGAUGAAAGUGAUGCUGUUUGGAGUUUAGGACAACUUACAAUCCUUGGAUCAAUAGGUGCUGACAAAGCCAAUUCCACCUUGUAAUACAUCAAAGAGAAGAUUUCUACCUGAAGAAGUAAGCCAGCUCUGAGGUUUUCACAGGAGACAUCUCUUCAAGCUCACCCUGUUUCUCUCUCGCUCGGUCAUCAGACCACCAUCAUUGUCGGACCACCAUCAUCACAACAUUCGAAAUGGUAAUGAUGUUCAAGAAAAGAGGGAUUGCCUAAUAAAAUCCAAGUCCAAACACAGUCGGGCAUUAGUUGCUAAUAAUACUGCCUAAAGUUCUCUAAUCAAGACAUAGAUGUGAUCUUAAGGUUAGAUCUUUGAUCCUCAUGGGCACACAUUUACAUCUCCAGGUGUGUUCCAAAAGGCCUUUGGUCAACUAGAAUGACAAUGUACUGUUUUGUCUUUAUAGCACUGCAUGAUUGCAAUGGAGCUAAAAUGCUUGAUAUUGUCAAAUUGACAAGUAAUUUACCUUUCACUUGAUAUGUUUAGAAUUUUCUAAGUAAAUAUCAAGGCCCAUGUUUGUUUGGUGGACAUGACCUUGAGAGUGGAUUAAUAAUCCAACAAAAUGCAUAAUUUGAUGUUUGGCUAAGAAAAUUGGGAUCCGGACUAAUAGUUUAUCCGGACAUAGUAUUUUCCAUAAUAGAAGAUGUUUAGACUAAGAAAGUGUUCAGAUUAAUUAGUUAAAUUGAAAAUUUGAUAGAUUUUCUCUAUCCCUCAUAAUCCUGAAACAAUCUAAACAUUGGGAUGGGAUACACAAUCCAAAGGGAUUUAUAAAAUGAUAAUAUCAUUUAAACUACCCAAUCAAACAUAACCUAAUAGUUUUAUUAGAUUAUGAAACAAUUUGUAUUGUAUUGUUAAUGUUUUAGUACUGAACCAUAAUAUUAGUAGAGAUAAGAACAUGCAUCACUUCUUUCAUGUCGAAGUGAGUACUAACCAACAUCAAAUGGGAUAGGUAAUGUGAUCACUAAAACUGGAACCUCUUGUUGGCUUCCCUCUGCUAGCAUGUAUGACCAAUAGUGAAUUUUUUCUCUCCUGUUCACAUAGCUGUAUCUUAAUCUUCUUAGCUCAUAUUUUAUUAAUGCCAAUAUCGCAUCUGCAUAUCCAAUAUGCUUGCCAGUGUUGAUAGUGGCCAUUAUUGCGGGUGGAAACAUUUGAUGCAAUAGCAGAAAAUACAAAAAAAAUUGCUUGCAUUCUUAACAAGUAUGAAGUGCUCCUUUUCUUUUCUUUUCCUGUUUAUUGUUAUUUCUUUUCUUUUCCUGUUUGUUGUUAUGUAUCCUUGUUUAAUGGUUAGGUUUUGGUAGGAAUAAAAUGACCAUUGGAUGAAAUUUUAAAUUUGAAGGUUUUCCAGGAUUGCUGUCUACCCACACAGUUCUCUUCAAGAAAAACCAAGCCACAAGAAAAAGAAAUUCAAGAGAUUUUGGUACUGAUACUUGAAAAGCAAAAAGCAAAAAGCAAAAAGCUUGAAGGUGAUAAUGUUGUGGAUGAGCCACCUAUUGAUGUACCAUCAUUGUUUAUAACUAAACUUGUUUAUGAUUUCUUGUUUAAUGUUGAAGAUCUAAAAUAUCUGCAUCCCUAUUUUGAAGGACUUCUUGUUCUUGACCUCUAUUAUGUGCAAUGUUAUAACCUCUAUUUUAUUUAUACAUUUUGAUCUAUAUUAUGAA